UGUUAUGGCGGUGCUGCGCAGGGCACCUUGUGUGCGCUGGGUUUCCUGGAGUCCCGGUCUACCAACCUGCGUAUAGCCGCCACCUUG
rnacentral:antisense_RNA from 3 species